UACGAAGGGGGCUAGCGUUGUUCGGCAUUACUGGGCGUAAAGCGCACGUAGGCGGACAUUUAAGUCAGGGGUGAAAUCCCGGGGCUCAACCCCGGAACUGCCUUUGAUACUGGGUGUCUCGAGUCCGGAAGAGGUGAGUGGAAUUCCGAGUGUAGAGGUGAAAUUCGUAGAUAUUCGGAGGAACACCAGUGGCGAAGGCGGCUCACUGGUCCGGUACUGACGCUGAGGCGCGAAAGCGUGGGGAGCGAACCGG
rnacentral:rRNA from 1 species